AAGUAAGAGAAAGAGAGAUUGACGAGAGAGAGAGGGAGAUUCGCUUGCCGUCCAUUGUCAAUCAUUCGUCACCUUCGUCAUUGGAGUUCUCUGCUGCUCGCCAUCCUCCCUCGUCAUCUUAUUUGUCCCCCACCGCUCCCGAUCAAGAUUUUUCCUCUGUUAGAGUGUGAAGAGGUUUUUGGGGAAGUUUCUGUUUGGCUGUCAAGGAAGAAAAAUCUUGAUUUUUCUUUGUGGUUUUCAUGUUGGUAGACAAAAGAAGUUAAAUUGUUAUUUAGCUCGUGAAGAUUUGUUACAUUACUGCGACAUGGUUGAAGUCGGCUAUAUGUGUAUACUAGCGUAUAUUACAUAUCUUUGGGAUGAAUGUGACUGCGCAAGGAAUUUUUUUGUCAUUGACCAAUAAAAAAUAUCGUCACAUAUAAAAGAUUGUGAUCUUCGAUCCAGAAAUUUAGCCAACCAGCUAGAAGCAGUUAACUUGGAACAGAAAGCGCUAAUUCCAUAUAAUAGCGGUUUUCAUUGGAUGUUGCAUGUUAUCGAUCUUAGUGAAAAUUGCGUUUAUGUUUUGGAUUCACUUCGGAGUAAAAUCAAUGAAGACAUUCAUGGAGUCAUAAAUGUAGGGUUGAAGACAUGACAAGCGAAACACGAUCUACAACGCUAUCGAUCAACUCCAAAAUGGAGACCUGUAAAGUGCCCUCGUCAAUUGGAUUUUGUAGGGUGUGAGUACUACGUGCAAAAGUACAUACAUGAGAUAGUGCAUAAUUCUAGUACUUCUAUUACUAGCUUUUUCAAUACCAAAAAUGCAUAUAGGCAAGAGGAGAUUGACGAGAUUCGAACUGAAUGGGCAACUUUUGUUAGCAGAUUUGUGUAAGCUUUUAAAUGUGUUUUUUGGUCGAGUUAAGUUAGUAGUUGAUUUUUGUAGUUAAGUUACUAGUUGGUCGAGUUAAGUUUUUGUAGGGACGGGCAGUUGGAUGAUUUUAUUUGUUGUAGUACUAUAUAGAAGGGUGGAAAGGUGUGCUAAUAUUUUAGGUGUUGGAUGAUCGUAUUUGCUGUAGUACUAUAUGAAAGUGUGGAAAAGUGUGCUGGUAUUUUAGUGUUGGAUCUUAUGCAUUGUAGGUGUUUAUUAUUGGUUUGUCAUGGAUGGCAGGAUGUGUUGUUUGAUAUGUGUGAUUAUAUAUAUAAGUGGAUAUAUUGGAGGAUUUGGAGUAG